rnacentral:rRNA from 1 species
GAGUUUGAUCCUGGCUCAGAGCGAACGCUGGCGGCAGGCCUAACACAUGCAAGUCGAGCGCCCCGCAAGGGGAGCGGCAGACGGGAGAGUAACACGUGGGAACGUGCCCUUUGGUUCGGAACAACACAGGGAAACUUGUGCUGAUACCGGAUAAGUCCGUAAGGAGAAAGAUUUAUCGCCAAAGGAUCGGCCCGCGUCUGAUUAGCUUGUUGGUGAGGUAACGGCUCACCAAGGCGACGAUCAGUAGCUGGUCUGAGAGGAUGAUCAGCCUCACUGGGACUGAGACACGGCCCAGACUCCUACGGGAGGCAGCAGUGGGGAAUAUUGGACAAUGGGCGCAAGCCUGAUCCAGCCAUGCCGCGUGGAUGAUGAAGGCCCUAGGGUUGUAAAGUCCUUUCGGCGGGGAAGAUAAUGACGGUACCCGCAGAAGAAGCCCCGGCUAACUUCGUGCCAGCAGCCGCGGUAAUACGAAGGGGGCUAGCGUUGCUCGGAAUCACUGGGCGUAAAGCGCACGUAGGCGGCUUUUUAAGUCAGAGGUGAAAUCCUGGAGCUCAACUCCAGAACUGCCUUUGAUACUGGAGAGCUUGAGUCCGGGAGAGGUGAGUGGAACUGCGAGUGUAGAGGUGAAAUUCGUAGAUAUUCGCAAGAACACCAGUGGCGAAGGCGGCUCACUGGCCCGGUACUGACGCUGAGUGCGAAAGCGUGGGGGAGCAAACAGGAUUAGAUAUCCCUGGUAGUCCACGCCGUAAACGAUGGAUGCUAGCCGUUGUCGGUUUACCCGUCCAUGGCGCAGCUAAGCAUUAACAUCCCGUCUGGGGAGUACGGGCGCAGAUUAAAACUCAAAGGAGUGACGGGGGCCCGCACAG